rnacentral:tRNA from 1 species
GCACGGAUGGCCGAGUGGUCUAAGGCGCCAGACUCAAGCAUUGGCUUGGUGCGAGCGCAGCACCAUGGGUGUUCUGGUAUCGUAAUCGAUGCAUGGGUUCGAAUCCCAUUCCGUGCA